UCGUCAUCAGAGUCGUGCCAA
rnacentral:siRNA from 1 species